rnacentral:snRNA from 1 species
AUACUCAGGUUUCUCUAUAGAUCAUAUAAAUCUCUUGCCUUUUACUAAAGAUUUCCAUGGAAAACAUCCAGUCAUGAAGAAUGUAUUUGACUUCUCUCUGGUGCAGAUGC